ACGGGUGAGUAAUGCAUGGGAACGUGCCUCUAAGCGGGGGAUAACUACGGGAAACUGUAGCUAAUACCGCAUAAUAUCGAGAGAUUAAAGGUGGCCUCUAUUUAUAAGCUACUACUUAGAGAUCGGCCCAUGUCCCAUUAGCUAGUUGGCGGGGUAACGGCCCACCAAGGCUACGAUGGGUAGCUGGUCUGAGAGGAUGAUCAGCCACACUGGAACUGAGACACGGUCCAGACUCCUACGGGAGGCAGCAGUGGGGAAUUUUGCACAAUGGAGGAAACUCUGAUGCAGCAACGCCGCGUGAGUGAUGAAGGCCCUCUGGGUUGUAAAGCUCUUUCGGUUGGGGAGAAGGGUGAUAUGGCUAAUAUCCAUGUUAUUUGACGGUACCAAAAGAAGAAGCACCUGCUAACUUCGUGCCAGCAGCAGCGGUAAUACGAAGGGUGCAAGCGUUGUUCGGAAUUACUGGGCGUAAAGGGCGCGUAGGCUGGUUUGCAAGUCUAAUGUGAAAUCCCCGGGCUUAACCCGGGACGUGCAUUAGAAACUGCAGAUCUUGAAUGCUUAAGAGGGUGGUAGAAUUCCAGGAGUAGAAGUG
rnacentral:rRNA from 1 species